UUGGAAACCUCAGAGCAGUGCUUCUCAAAUGUUAACGUGCAUACGAUGAAUCACGUGGGCAUCUUGUUAAAAUGCAGAGUUUUGAGUCGAGGGUCUGGGGAGGGCUGAGAUUGUGCACUUCUAAGGAGAUGCCAGGUGGUGCUAAUUCUGCUGCACUGGACACCACACUUAGAGUGGCGAGGUCACUAAAUAAUAGGAGCAAAAGGAUCGUGAGAACACCGACAUCAGUGAGAAGGAGGCUGGCUGCAGAGACCAUGGUAAGCUCCUCCCCUUGUGUUCAGGCCAGACCUAUUGACCUGCUUCUCAUGAAUGGAAUAUGACAAAAGCAAUGGGAUGUCACUUUCAUGAUGAGGUUGCAAGAGGUUGUGAUUUCUACUUUGCUAGGAAUCUCUCUUGCUGCUGCUUUCUCCUCUCUAUUGACUUCUUGGCUUGUGUGCUUUGAUGCUGAAACCA
rnacentral:lncRNA from 1 species